rnacentral:rRNA from 1 species
UGAGGAAUAUUGGUCAAUGGACGGAAGUCUGAACCAGCCAUGCCGCGUGAAGGAUGAAGGCGUUCUGCGUUGUAAACUUCUUUUAUCUGGGAAGAAACCACAGAUUUCUAUUUGUGUUGACGGUACCAGAGGAAUAAGCACCGGCUAACUCCGUGCCAGCAGCCGCGGUAAUACGGAGGGUGCGAGCGUUAUCCGGAUUUACUGGGUUUAAAGCGUGCGUAGGCGGUCUGUUAAGUCUGCUGUGAAAUCCCCGGGCUCAACCUGGGAAUGGCGGUGGAAACUGGCGGGCUAGAGUACGGUAGAGGAUGGUGGAAUUCCCGGUGUAGCGGUGAAAUGCGUAGAGAUCGGGAGGAACACCUGUGGCGAAGGCGGCCAUCUGGACCAGUACUGACGCUGAGGCACGAAAGCGUGGGGAGCAAACA